CCUACGGGAGGCAGCAGUGGGGAAUAUUGCACAAUGGGGGAAACCCUGAUGCAGCGACGCCGCGUGAGUGAAGAAGUAUUUCGGUAUGUAAAGCUCUAUCAGCAGGGAAGAAAAUGACGGUACCUGACUAAGAAGCCCCGGCUAACUACGUGCCAGCAGCCGCGGUAAUACGUAGGGGGCAAGCGUUAUCCGGAUUUACUGGGUGUAAAGGGAGCGUAGGCGGCAGUGCAAGUCUGAUGUGAAAGCCCGGGGCUUAACCCCGGGACUGCAUUUGAAACUGUGCAGCUAGAGUGCAGGAGAGGAGAGUGGAAGUCCUAGUGUAGCGGUGAAAUGCGUAGAUAUUAGGAGGAACACCAGUGGCGAAGGCGGCUUGCUGGACUGUAACUGACGUUGAGGCUCGAAAGCGUGGGGAGCAAACAGGAUUAGAUACCCUUGUAGUC
rnacentral:rRNA from 1 species